rnacentral:rRNA from 1 species
UACGGGGGGGGGUAAGCGUUGUUCGGAAUUACUGGGCGUAAAGGGCUCGUAGGCGGCCAACUAAGUCAUACGUGAAAUCCCUCAGCUUAACUGGGGAACUGCGUGUGAUACUGGAUGGCUUGGAUUUGGGAGAGGGAUGCGGAAUUCCAGGUGUAGCGGUGAAAUGCGUAGAUAUCUGGAGGAACACCGGUGGCGAAGGCGGCAUCCUGGACCAAUAUUGACGCUGAGGAGCGAAAGCCAGGGGAGCAAACGGG